CGGACGGGUGAGUAACGCGUGAGAAUCUGCCUUUAGGUCGGGGACAACAGUUGGAAACGACUGCUAAUACCGGAUGAGCUGAGAAGUAAAAGAUUUAUCGCCUAGAGAGGAGCUCGCGUCUGAUUAGCUAGAUGGUAGUGUAAUGGACUACCAUGGCGACGAUCAGUAGCUGGUCUGAGAGGAUGAGCAGCCACACUGGGACUGAGACACGGCCCAGACUCCUACGGGAGGCAGCAGUGGGGAAUUUUCCGCAAUGGGCGAAAGCCUGACGGAGCAAUACCGCGUGAGGGAGGAAGGCUCUUGGGUUGUAAACCUCAAAACUUAGGGAAGAAGAAAGUGACGGUACCUAAUAUAAGCAUCGGCUAACUCCGUGCCAGCAGCCGCGGUAAUACGGAGGAUGCAAGCGUUAUCCGGAAUCAUUGGGCGUAAAGAGUCCGUAGGUGGCAAUUCAAGUCUGCUGUCAAAGACCGAAGCUCAACUUCGGGUAGGCGGUGGAAACUGAAGAGCUAGAGUAUAGUAGGGGUAGAGGGAAUUCCUAGUGUAGCGGUGAAAUGCGUAGAGAUUAGGAAGAACACCAGUGGCGAAGGCGCUCUACUGGGCAUAUACUGACACUGAGGGACGAAAGCUAGGGUAGCGAAAGGGAUUAGAUACCCCUGUAGUC
rnacentral:rRNA from 1 species